rnacentral:tRNA from 3 species
GCCCGGAUGGCGGAAUCGGCAGACGCGACGGACUCAAACUCCGUUGCCCGAAAGGGUGUGCGGGUUCAAGUCCCGCUCCGGGCACCA